AUUGAACGCUGGCGGCAUGCCUUACACAUGCAAGUCGAACGGUAACAGGUCUUCGGAUGCUGACGAGUGGCGAACGGGUGAGUAAUACAUCGGAACGUGCCUAGUAGUGGGGGAUAACUACUCGAAAGAGUGGCUAAUACCGCAUGAGAUCUACGGAUGAAAGCAGGGGAUCGCAAGACCUUGUGCUACUAGAGCGGCCGAUGGCAGAUUAGGUAGUUGGUGGGAUAAAAGCUUACCAAGCCGACGAUCUGUGGCUGGUCUGAGAGGACGAUCAGCCAGACUGGGACUGAGACACGGCCCAGACUCCUACGGGAGGAAGGAGGGGGGAAUUUUGGGCAAUGGGCGAAAGCCUGAUCCAGCAAUGCCGCGUGCAGGAUGAAGGCCUUCGGGUUGUAAACUGCUUUUGUACGGAACGAAAAGCCCCGGGUUAAUACCCUGGGGUCAUGACGGUACCGUAAGAAUAAGCACCGGCUAACUACGUGCCAGCCGCCGCCGUAA
rnacentral:rRNA from 1 species